CUGGAAAAUCUCAAAGGAAUGGAAGCAGAACUCCUCGCAGUGUCUGGCUGGAGUGGCUCCAAAUUUCCAAGGAAGAGAAAAGCAGCUUUACACCCCUGAUGGAGAAUGAAUAGCUUUAUUGAGGAAUAAUGGACAAACAUAAAGCCCCAUAUAUUUCAAGUGCCAUAUUUGAAGAAGGUCAACAAGAGCUAGAAGAGUCUGGGAAGGAAAGCCUCAUGAAUCAGCGGAGGACUUCAGUGGACUCUGUGGAAUAUGGAUGCACAGAGGAGAUAAAAUAUUCUAGACAGAGAGAACAGCAUGCAUGGAGGCCUGGGAAUCUUUCUGGCAAUAGAAGAGGACAGAAAGUUGAU